GUGGAAAAUGGCUUAGUUUAUUUAUUCCUAAUCAAGGGAUGAAUAAGUAUUGGUUUAUUUAUUCCAAAACUAAAAAAAAAAUAGCUUAUUUCCAUCGUUAUCAAAAUCGAGUAGGAUGAAUAGCAAAAAAGUGGCUUUUUUUCAAUCUUAGAUUUUUUCUACAAAGAAUUUCAGGAAAAGAUAAUCUUGAGUUAGCUCUGAUAUUCAUUGAAGAGAAUUUGCAAGUGAAGGGUUCAACUAUAAAAUUCAUUUUUGAAAAUUUCCUUUAUUUUCCCAUUUCAAACGUGUUGAAUCGAAAAUGGAGAGAUUGAGUCGCAGGAACAAAGAUCGAAGAAGAAAGAUUUAACUGUGAAGGAGUUGUAGGUUCUUGAAACAAAAAAAACGGUGAACAUUUAGUCUGAAUCAAAUGUGAACAAAGCUGAUUUGACACAGGGAUUGGAAAAUCUUUUGUUGCCGGAGGAUGAGUUUGAACAAGAUGAUGUUGGAUAUGAUAGUGAAGAUCUUAUCAAAGAUGAAGGUUCAGAGGGAAGUACAAACGAAGUUUUAAAUGAAUGUAGUUUUACAAGGCAACUACUGUGAAUUGUUUGGAUGUUGGCAACAUUUCAGCCCUAACUUUCCAAGAAUUAACUUCAGAAGAUUUAAUGAAAUACCACUUUUUGGAUGUUGGUGUGGCAUUCACAUUUUACAAUUGGUAUGCUACUUUUCGUGGUUUUGCUGCAAGAAAAAGCAAAGUUAUGAGAAACAAAAUGGUGAAAUAAAACAACAAACCUUUGUUUGUUACAAACAAGGUCAAAAAGGAGAAAAAGUUAUUGUGUCUAUAAGUCGAAAGUGUGCACCAAAAGUCUACGUAAGAUGUGGUUGUGAAGCAAAAUAUCGUGUCCACAUUGAAGCAAAAAGUGGACGUUGGUACAUGAAAUUUUUGCACGAUGCACAUAAUCAUAAAUUGUUGGAUGGUCAAUUUAUGGGUAUGUUAUCGACACAGAAAAAUGACAGAUUAUGAUAUUUGAUGAAUGUGCAACAUGCGACAACUUGGGAUGAAGACUACCCAUAUUUUUGGAUUAUUUGCAAGUGAAGCUGGUGGGUUUGAAAGAGUUGGAUUUCCUAAGAGAGACAUGUACAAUGAACAAGAGAGACAACACCUAACUUCAUUAAUUGAUGUGAAAGUUGCAUGUUAAUAUCUUGAUAGAAUGCGUGCUAGUGAUGAAUCUUUGUUUUGGAGAUAAUAAAGGAAGACUUUCACAUUUAUUUUGGUGUGAUGGUACAACUCAGAGGGAUUAUGUGAUUUUUGGUGAUGUAUUAGCAUUUGAUGUCACUUAUAAAAGGAACAAGUAUAUGUGUCCAUUGGUUGUACUUUUUUAUGUGAACAACCAUAACGAAAAGCGUUGUACUCAGUGGUGCAAUUGUCUGCAAUGAAACAGAAUCAACAUAUGUUUGAUUGUUAGAACAACUUUUGACUGCAAUGGGAGGCAAAAUUCCAACAUCAGUUAUUAUCGAUGGUGAUUUAGCUAUGAAGAAUACAAUAAGAAGGGUUUUUUCCUGAGUCUCAUCACAUAUUAUGUGCAUGGCACCUUAUACGAAAUGGUUGCACUAAUGUUGGAAACACUCAAUUUGUGAAGAAAUUCAAACAAUGUAUGUUUGGUGACUAUGAUGUCGGGGAGUUCAAGCAAAAAUGAGAUAAAAUGGUCAUUGGUUUUGGACUACAAGACCACAAACGGGUUUGAGAUAUGUACGAAAAAGGCACAUGUGGGCUAGUGCCCAUAUACGAGGUAAAUUGUUUGUUGGAUUUAGAACAACUUCUCAAUGUGAAGGACUACAUGCACAAUUUGGGAGGUAUGUUAACUACCAAAAUAAUUUGCUUGAGUUUUUACGUCAAUUUUUUAGAUGUUUAAAUUACGUGUGUUUUACUUAAGUUGAGGAAGAUUUUGGGUCCGUUCAUGGAGAACCUGAUUUAGAAACCCUGUUACCACUAAUUGAGAGAGUUGCUGGAGAAAUAUACACUUGAGAAAUAUUUCUUUUAGUUCAACUUGUGCUUCGCAGAGCAUGCACUAUUGUAGAUUGUAGGCAAACGACAUCUUGUUAUUUUUAUACAGUUGUUAAGUAUCUAAAAGAAUAUGUUCAAUGACAAGUGUCUUUUCCUCCUACUACAUUCAAAUUCAAGUGCUCGUGUGAGAGGAUAGAAUCUUUAGGUAUUGUAUGUGAACAUUUUGUUAUUGUAUUAGUGCUUAUGAACAUUGUCACUUUACCAAAAAGUCUUGUGUUAAAGAGAUCGAUGGACUAAGAAUGCAAAAGGCUCAAUUCAUGUUUGUACACGAAAGAACAUGUUUUCAAAUGAGCCUACAUUGAUUAGCCAAUUUUCGAAUAUCGUUGAACGUUGUAAAAGCAUGGUUGUGGCAGCUAUUAAAUGAGGAAAUCAUGAACUCAUGUGUGAUAAUGUUGGCUUAAUUGAGACACAAGCAGAGAUAUUAGAAGAUGCUUGCAUUAAUGAUGGUUCUGCCUAUGUAUACAAUCAGACCUUUUUUGAUAAAGCGAUAUUAAACCCAACUCGUGUUAGAACAAAAGGAUGUGAUGCGGUUCGAUCAUCUACAAAAACAAAAAAUAAGCCAUAUGGAAGGAAAUCACAAGCUUGUGGCCUAUAUAGGGGGUGAAUGACAUAAUAGAAAAUCUAGUACUCGUCAAAGUCAAAACCCUUAUUUCAAUGAUACUCAGGUUGAGUCAAACUCCCUUGAUAAUGAGUAUGGUCAUCAUGAUGAAGAACAUGAGAAUAUAGAAAAUGUUGACAUGAAUAUUUAGUGGAGUUGAAAGUGAUUAUGGAUUAGAACUCACCAAGUUCGAGUUGGUUAAAUGUAAAAUGUAAUUGUUAUCUCUUUCUUCUCUGUGUGUAUGUAUUUGUGUAUUCUGUUUUGAAUAAGUUUUAUAUUAAAUUAAGGAUUAUGUAAUGACAUAUCUUGUUCUUCUGUGUGUGUUUGACUAAGUAUUUGUGUACUUUGCAUGAUUUGUCGAGCCCUUGUUGUUAUGUAUCUUGGUGUUGCAAUUGCUUGAACACAUAUGGUGUUAUGUCAUUUUCACUACAA